AUGUCGUCACCUUCGCCGUCAUCGUCGCGGGCAGCAGCAACCCAGGAAAUUCGGUUCUUCUCGGUCUCCAAACCACCUCCGUGCAACUCCCACGUUUCGGCGGGGGCGGGGGCGGCCGGGGCGCCGACCUGGGUCGCGGGGACGGAAGCCUCGUCGCCUCACCAACCUGCACCGUGUCCCUCCCGCGGGCUGAGCCCCAAGGCCGAGGCGGGCUCGCGCAGGGAGGGGCAGCCCGAGUGGGCAGGUCAGCAUCAGUGGCUCGAGCUGGUGCACGGAGGCUGGCCCCGCGGGGACGAGGGCGCAGGGAGGGGCCGGGACUCCGGGGCUCCGGCCUCCCCCUCGGGGCUGCGGCGCCCCGGGAAAAGUCUGCCCGGGCUCCCCUCGACUGCCCAACAGAAAGCGCUGGAAGGCUGGAGGUUGGAGGGGCGCCGCGAGAAACAAUUGCCCGGCUCCCGCCCCGACCGCCCGGCUCGCUCGCGGAAGCGGACGCGCAGCCCCGGGUGGUGCAGGGCCGUGACCUGGGGCUGGGGGUGGGUGGGGCGGGGGCGGCAGGGCCAGGCCCGCCGGGCGCAUCCGGAGCGGCGGGGGGCGGGGGGCAGCGGGCACUGCGAGCCCGCCCCUCGCGGGGGCCUGUCCCCAGGCUCCAUCCCAGGGUGCGGGGCCCGCUCCCGGGGAGAGCGCCCCGACCCCGAGGCCACGCGGCCCCGGGCGCCCCAGGGGCCAGACGUCUCCCCUUCUGCCUUUCAUAGGACAGAAGCUUCUGGCCAGACCCGCGGACUUCCCUGCGCGACCCCGCUCUCGAGCAAAGGCGGCUCUCCUGGGGCGCGUGGCCCCGACUGCACAGGGGCAGCCCCCCAAUUCUCGUGCACCCAAGUGCACCCCAACACCGCGCGCGGCCCCACCAGCACCCCGUCCCCGCGUCGUCCUGGCCUGGUGCCCCAGGCCGAGCCACGCAGCUGGGGAGGCGAGUCCGGGCGCAGACUCCUGCUGGGAGGCGACCCGAUGCUUGUCCCUUACCUGGGUGCAGGGCCACUGGCCACCGGCGGCCUGCUGGCGGCUCACCACCUACCUCCCUGA
rnacentral:lncRNA from 1 species